rnacentral:rRNA from 1 species
GACGAACGCUGGCGGCGUGCUUAACACAUGCAAGUCGAACGGAAAGGCCCAGCUUGCUGGGUGCUCGAGUGGCGAACGGGUGAGUAACACGUGGGUGAUCUGCCUCUAACUUCGGGAUAAGCUUGGGAAACUGGGUCUAAUACCGGAUAGGACAAUCGUUUAGUGUCGGUUGUGGAAAGUUUUUUCGGUUAGGGAUGAGCCCGCGGCCUAUCAGCUUGUUGGUGGGGUAAUGGCCUACCAAGGCGUCGACGGGUAGCCGGCCUGAGAGGGUGGACGGCCACAUUGGGACUGAGAUACGGCCCAGACUCCUACGGGAGGCAGCAGUGGGGAAUAUUGCACAAUGGGCGCAAGCCUGAUGCAGCGACGCCGCGUGGGGGAUGACGGCCUUCGGGUUGUAAACCUCUUUCGACAGGGACGAAGCUUUGGUGACGGUACCUGUAGAAGAGGCACCGGCUAACUACGUG